CUUCAACGAGCCGAGCAGCAGCGGCCGUUCACGCCCCUGGCCGUAGGUGGCCAGCAGCGCCUGCGCCUC
rfam:Streptomyces sp. SolWspMP-5a-2 genome assembly, contig: Ga0115242_1021